AACAACUUUGUUCCUCUGCUGUCUGACUCUACCUGAAAACAUGUUACUUUACUUCUUGCUGCUUUUCUCUCUCUGCAUAGCCAUGGGCUCCAUGAACACCAUCAAUCAGGAACAGAGGGAACAAGCUGUUUCAGAGGAAAGAAGCACCAGUUUGAGCUGUGAAUAUUCUGGUUCUAUCUACAAUAUCCAGUGGUACCGACAGCAGCAGAGAUCCAGACCAGAGUUCCUGCUCUACAUCACAGAGGCAGGACAGAUUCAUCCAACUGGUUCAGAGUUUUCUGUUCACAUCAACAAAACAGCGAAACAAUCGAAGCUGGUGAUCUCCUCUGCAGCACUGUCAGACUCUGCUGUGUACUACUGUGCUGUGGCGCCCACAGUGACAGGAAACACCAGAACUCUGUACAAAAACCUGCAAUAAUUUAAAACCUCCACUAGAGGACCCCAAACAU